AUCAGAAAAUUGAGCAAAAUCAUUUUCUCUCAAGGAGUAAGAAAGCCUUAGUAGUGUGUUCUUUCCUUGUUGUCCAAGUUAGUAUGGAAGUGGUGUGUCUUUUUAUUUCAAGUUUGUUGUCAUCCCACUUGAUAUACAUGUGAUAUAAUAAUCAUUAUGCACAACAAAGAAGGAAGAAAGUUUGGAGAUAUGGUUUAUGGACCGGAGCUUCCAACUGUUGCCGCCAAGUUCAAACACCACGACGUGCCUCCGAUCAAUCCCGUCCAUUUUGGCGACUAUCUCACCGCGCUUUACAUCCGAGCAAACGACGUACCUCCGAUUAAUCUCGUCCACUCCGGUGACGAUCUCAAAGUGCUUUACAACCGAGCCGACGAUGUGACUCAAAUCAAUCCUUCCUACUCCGGCAUGGUAGAAUGCAUUAUGGGCUGCCAUGAUUUCUUGCUAAAUAGCCAAUAAAGUAAUGUCAUCUUCUACCUUUUCAAAAGGCAAUAACUGGUUGAACAAGUUUCCUCUCCUCUUUUAUUUGUACUUCCCUUCUUACUUUUAAUAAAAAUUUGACGGAGUGUAGUAGACCCAUAUCUUGAAUUUGUUUACUUAAUAUUUUGUAGCUAAGAUCUAUCCUCUAUACUCGAAGGUAAACAAUUAAUUUUUCAUUAUCAC